CCGGAGGGCUUGUAGCUCAGUUGGUUAGAGCGCGCGCUUGAUAAGCGUGAGGUCGGAGGUUCAAGUCCUCCCAGGCCCACCAAUUUAUGGUCGUUUUUUGCUUAUCCAAGAGUAUGAAGCUUCAGCGUAUUAAAAACGCUUCAAUCUUUGUUUAUUUUUAAAGAUUUUAUUUUAUCAUCCAAAGAUUAUUUGUUAAAUUUAUCCUAUUAAGCUUUCAAAAGAGGCUUUUAAAACCUCUUUCGUGGUACAGAUGAAUUUAAAUGAUGCAAAUCAAAAUAAUACAGGGAAUGCAAGUUGAUAAAUCUGGUUAAGGUUGAUUUGAAAGAGCAUUAUUUAGGGGCCGUAGCUCAGCUGGGAGAGCACCUGCUUUGCAAGCAGGGGGUCGUCGGUUCGAUCCCGUCCGGCUCCACCAUUUAGGUCAUCAUCAUGUUGUAAGAACACGGUUUAGUAAAAGGUCCAGUGAUCUUUUGCUUGUUCUAUUGAAAUUGUG
rnacentral:tRNA from 1 species